AACAAAAAAGGGCGUGGCGUGAGGUCUAUUUUUUUUUGGUUUCCUCGUCACCGUCGCUCACCCGCCGUCUGUACCGAAUGAUGUUUCUUUAUAAGUUGUUAUUAAGCUGUCUCCAAUAUAUCAAAAGGAGAAAGAAAUUUGAGAAGAGAGAGUAUUGGAUAAGAUAGACAAGGGAGAGAGAGAUGAUUUAGUUUUAAUCUUUUGAAGAAGUGUUUCUGUUUUAGGUAGAUAAUCUACAGCUAACUAUUACAAGAGAGAGAGGUGACUCAAUCUGUGGUAUAGAUUGAUCAGAAAGAUCGUGUGGGUGGAAUCUGAAAGUUUUUUCCCACUAAAAAUAGAAAUAGUUUUAAAAUAGGAGGCAACAGAUCAAUGGGGAAGAAGCAGAAAUCAUCAUCAUUGAGAAGCAAAGCAGUUCACUUUGUCACCGAUCUCACCACCGGUCUCCUUAAUCCCAUCUCCGCUCCUCCUCCUCUUCCGGAUGAGGAAGAAGAUGAGUCCAAGAGAGAUCAACUAGAGUCUAAAGACGAACCAGACACUUCUUCCUUCUCUGCUUUCCUUGGCUCCCUCUUGUCCUCACAGGAUCAAGAAGAAGAAGAGGCUGAAUCAAGCGAUACUUCAUCAUCAUCAUCCGCUUCAAUGAAGGAAACUAGUGUUGCAAAGAAGAGCUUGUUGUCCAAGUAUAAACAGCAUUUCAAGAACUUUUACCAGGCUGUUAAGCUUUCCAAGGAUCGAAAGGCUCUUUUGGGGAAUACUGUUGAGGACGAUGGCUUGGAGAUGAAGCAGAUGCAGGAUAAAGGUGACACAGCAACAACAGCCAUUCUUAUACCUGACAUUUCAGAGCCCUCUUUGCUUUUGACUGACCACUCUAGACGUUCCCUUUAUUCUUCACUUCCUGCUCUUGUUCAAGGCAGGAAAUGGAUUUUGCUUUAUAGUACAUGGAGGCAUGGUAUAUCUCUGUCAACGCUCUACAGAAAAAGCCUCCUCUGGCCUGGUCUCAGUCUACUGGUUGUUGGAGACAGGAAAGGUUCGGUGUUUGGUGGACUUGUGGAGGCGCCUUUGAUACCAACUGAUAAGAAGUAUCAGGGAACCAACAGUACAUUUGUUUUCACUGAUAAGUCUGGACAACCCACUAUAUACCGUCCCACAGGAGCAAAUAGGUUUUACACAUUAUGCUCCAAGGACUUUCUAGCUCUCGGUGGUGGUGGACGGUUUGCUCUCUAUCUAGACAGUGAGCUGUAAGGCUAAGUGGAUCAAGUGCUUACUCGGAGACAUACGGGAACGCUUGUCUUGCAACCUCUCAGGACUUUGAUGUUAAGGAAGUGGAGUUAUGGGGAUUUGUGUAUGGCUCAAAGUAUGAUGAGAUUCUAGCUCUCAGCAAAACAACAGAGCCUGGUGUAUGCAGGUGGUGAUGAUCAUCAUGAUGAAAUGGAAUUUUUUUUUUAAAAAAAAGUGAGGUUAUCUUAUGUAAAUGUGUAGUUAUAUAAAAUGUUUUCUUACCUUGACUUAAAUCACAUCUCAAGUACACUCACUUGUAACCAAGAAACCUUUUUCUUGUUGUUGUUGUUGUAAUGGUUUUGGAAUUGAUAUGUCAAAACAUAAAACUGGUUGAAAUUUCAUCAAUAAAAAUUGGUUUAUGCA